UACAGAGGGUGCAAGCGUUAAUCGGAAUUACUGGGCGUAAAGCGUGCGUAGACGGUUAUGUAAGUCAGAUGUGAAAGCCCCGGGCUCAACCUGGGAAUUGCAUUUGAGACUGCAUAGCUAGGGUGCGGAAGAGGGAAGCGGAAUUUCCGGUGUAGCGGUGAAACGCGUAGAUAUCGGAAGGAACACCAGUGGCGAAAGCGGCUUCCUGGUCCAGCACCGACGUUCAGGCACGAAAGCGUGGGGAGCAAACAGG
rnacentral:rRNA from 1 species